ACCCAGUUUGUUUAACCAUGUGGAACACUUGAUCUAAUAGUUUAAGCUAUUAGAUAGGGUUAGAAUAAUAUAAUUUAAAUAUUAUCUUCAUCAUGCCCCUUAUGUGUAGGCAGUAUUAUUUUUUCAUAAAACUUGACGCGUACACAACUUUUAAUAAAUAGGUGGCGGUGACACUUUUUCAUGGCUUUGAUACCAUAAAGAACCACUCAAUCUAAUAACUAAGCUAUUAUAUGGGGGCAAAUGAAUAUCAUAUAAAUAUUAUAUUCAACACAGUUAUAACAUAAAACUAUCCUGCUUAAUUUAUUUUUGAAACUGUAAUUGUGUUGUACUCUUCAUUUUGUAUUUCAAAAGAGAAUUUUUUUUUAUCUUUGCCGUGUCCAUUUUUUUGAGAAAAUAUCAUGAUGCUAUGUCUUUGUCUUGUCAUGUCAUACUCCUGUUUGUGUUUCUAAAAAUUAAAUUUUAGAAAAAAUCUCCUGCUUAACUUAUUUCUGUAAUUGUAAUUGUGUUAUACUCUUGGUUUUCAAUGUCGAAAAAUAAUUUUUUUUCUUUGCUAUGUCCAAUAUUUAGGCACAAAGCUGUGAUACCAUGACCAUGUCUUGUAAUGUCAUAGUCGUCUUAGUGUUUUUUAGAUCACACAUCUCAAUAACUGAAAUUUUUUAUCUACCCCAUAUCAUAUCUAGAACAAGCUGAAUACUGGCAUGGUUAAAGUACAUACAACAUCGAGACAGAUUCUCUUGUUAUUUCUCUGAGCUUGGAGCCAAAAAUUUGUCCACCAUAUCAUAGACUCUUUACAUGACUCUUACAUUGACCAACUCAACCCUACUUUAGAUAAAUUUGACCUCCAAUAAUUCAAAAUGCCAGUACAGCAUCCAAGAAAAUUUUUAGUUAAUACCAAUAUGACAGAGAUAUUUACCAAAACAUAGAUGACUUUAGACUCUAAUUUGCAUUUUGACCCGAGACACAAUUAAUUGUUCAGGUGAUGUAGCACCAGUAUAAAAAUUAAUGAAGAAAGAGAAAAUUAAUGAUUCAGGAAGAAGAAAUUAGGGGAUGGGAUGGAAGAAGAAGAACGGGGAAGAGGGAGAAUUUCGCCACAAGCCGCCAAAAAUCUUUAUUCAAUCAUCAACUGAAAAAUUACAAUACAAAAUAGGUUUAAAUAGUAAAGCAAACCCUAAAGAGAUUGAGCCCAAGCCCAUACAAGUCCAAUUCUCUAAAUAAGAGUUCAAGAUAAUAAAUAAAGCUCAACUAGAAAAUAAAAUAAAUAAAUAUCGGAUGUCCUCAUCAACUUUCCUGGGGUGGGAGAAAACUCGACCCUGUCGAGUGGAUAUAUCACUAUAAGCUGCAGUCAAUCUCCCAACCAUAAGCUAAGUGGCUGGGCAAGUGUCUUCCGACGUCUCUAGAAAUGUGUUAGUGGAGGUCUGAAUCUGGUGUCUUUACCAACCCCCUUGAGUGGACGGGAGGCGAUUUGGGGCAAGGAAGAUCCCGCUGACUCCGAUAAAACUCCAAUAAAUCUAGAUCCAAUUGCUGUCGUAUCUUUCUGGAGAUCCAUGUACAGUCAGAAUCUGGUCGAUCAACCCAACGAACAAGAAAGCCCUGAACCCCUCCAUCAUUAGUUAACACAGUUUCUUCAUCUAAAAUAGCAUCAAUUUUAUCUUUGUUUGUUGUGAGAGAUGACAGUAGGUUAGAAGUGGCCAAAGAAUCAAAAUCAAGGUCCACAAAAGGAGGUAACAGAGGAUCAUCUGAAGGAAUGAAAUGGCCUUUAUAAGCAACUAAAUCCUCCACAUCGAAAGUAGAGUGGUAACCAAGGUGUGGUGGGAUGUCAACAACGUAUGUGUUUGGGCCAACUUGCUUUAACAUUUUAUAAGGAUCAACACUACGGGCUUGCAAUUUGGAGGCGGGUCCAUGUAGACACUGGUCUGGCCUAAUGCAGACCAUAAUGUAAUCCUCAAUGUUAAACUCAACAUGUCGUUUAUGCAAAUUAGCUUGGAGUUUAUAUUUUACAUUAUUGGUUUCAAGUUGUUUAUUGAUCUCAAUAUGCAAAUCACGAAGAUGUUGUGCAAAUACUUCUGCUGACACUGAGACUCUAGCCUGUGGGGAUAUAGGAAUGAGAUGUAAUGGCUCCCUAGGCUUAUACCCAUGAACAGCUUCAAUGGACUCAUACCUAAUGAACGAUUCAUAGAACUGUUAUACGCAAUUUGAGCUUUAGGAAGGAUCAAAUCCCAAUUUCGAAGAUUUUUCUGACCAGAUAUCAUAACAAAUUACCAAGACUACGAUUAACUAUUUCAGUUUGACCGUUAGUCUGAGGAUGGUAGGCCGUAGAAAAUUUCAAUUUGGUACCCAUCUUUUGCCACAAGGUUCUCCAAAAAUGACUAGUGAAACGAACAUCCCUAUCAGACAAAAUGGUCUUAGGAAGCCCAUACAAUUUAACAAUCUCAUUAAAGAACAACAUGACAACUUUGGACGCAUCUGAGGUCUUGCUACAGGGGAUAAAAUGAGCCAUUUUCGAGAAACGAUCAACAACCAUAAAAAUAGAAUCAUGUUUCUUUGGGGUGCGUGGAAGUCCUAACAUAAAAUCCAUACUAAUAUCUUGCUAAGGACAAUUAGGGACAGGAAGAGGAGUGUAUAGGCCUGUGUUUUGUCUCUUCUGUUUGGUCAAUUGACAAGUGUUAUAUGUAUUAACAAUCUUAGCCACAUCUUUCUUCAAACUAGGCCAAUAGAAUUGGCGUUCAACCUCCUCUAUGGUCUUAUCACGCCCAAAGUGACAGGUUAAACUUCCCGCAUGAACUUCCCACACCAUGAAAUCCCGCACUGAAGUUCGAGGGAUGCACAAUUUUUUGGCUCUAAAAAGGUAACCCUCCUCAAGUUGGAAGCCAUCUGUGGUAUCUAACUGUCCACCUUGCAAUUCAAGAAAGAUAUCCUUAAAAUCAGGACACGUCUCGUAAUCCUCCUUAAGCCUUUCAAAAUCGAUGACCUUGACGCUCAUGAUCGAUAAAAGGGAGACACGACGACUUAAAGCAUCAGCUACUUGGUUUUCCACCCCCUUCUUAUGUUUUAAAACAAACGAAUAGGCCUGAAAUAUUCAAUCCAACGACCAUGCCUAGAGCUCAAUCUUUUCUGGGAGUUAGAGGUAACGGAGGGCCUCGUGGUUCGAAUAAAGAACAAACUCCUGGUGCAACAAAUAGUGGCGCCAAUAGCGCAAGGCCUGGACAACCGCACACAAUUCCUUAUCAUAAGUCGAGUACCGUUGUUUGGCCUCAUUUAACUUCUCCCUGAAGUAGGCAACAGGGUGACGAUCCUGAUUCAGGACUCCGCCUAUACCCACUCCGGAAGCAUCACACUCGACCUCAAAGACUUUAGAAAAAUUGGGAAGACGCAUGACAGGAGCCUGUGCCAUUUGCUUCUUGACCAACUUAAAGGCCUUAGCUGCUCUUGUGUCCAAUGAAACUCCCCUUUUUUCAUGCACUCCUAAUAGGCGCCAUAAUAGUGCUGAACCCCUUGAUAAAGCGACGGUAAAAUGUAGCUAAGUCGUGAAAGCCCCUAACGUCAUGAAUAGUCCUAGGUUUAGGCCAGUUAAGAAUCGCCCUGAAUCUUGGCAGGGUUAGCAGAAACCCCUGUCGAAGAGACAAUGAAUCCAAGGAAAACGACUGUAUCGGUGAAGAAAGAGCACUUUUUGAUGUUAGCAUACAGAUUAGUUGCACGUAGGGUAGAACAAACUUGUGUGAGAUGGUUAUGGUGUUGCUCUUUAGUCUUACUGUAGAUAAGAAUAUCAUCAAAGUAGACAACAAGAAACUUACCCAUAAAAGGUUGAAGAGUUUGUGUCAUUACUCGCAUAAAGGUGCUCGGCGCGUUGCUUAGCCCAAAAGGCGUGACCAACCAUUCAUAAAGAUCAUCUUUCGUUUUAAAGGCGGUCUUUCACUCAUCACCUGGGCGGAUUCUAAUAUGAUAGUAUCCACUCUUGAGAUCAAUCUUCGAAAAGAUUGUAGCACCAACGAUCAUAUCUAGCAUAUCGUCAAGUCUAGAAAUAGGAAAAUGAUACUUUAUUGUGAUCCUAUUGAUGACACGACUAUCCACACACAUUCUUCAAGAACCAUCCUUAGGGGUCAACAGGGCGGGAACCGCACAAGGGCUUAAACUCUCACGAAUGAACCCCUUGUGAAGGAGUUCAUCUACUUGCCUUUGGAGUUCAGCGUGGUCAGUCAGAUUCAUCCUAUAAUGAGGCAAAUUUGGAAGGGAUGCCCCCGGGAUGAUAUCUAUGGCAUGCUGAAUGUCUCGCAGGGGAGGUAAUUCGUCAGGUAGGUCCUCCGGGAAUACAUCCUGAAACUCUUUGAAAAAAUGAGUGAACUUCAGCAGGGCUCUCUAUUGUGGAGUUCCAUGGAACCUCCAUAACGAUAACAGCGAACACCACUGAGUCACUAACAAGUGAGCGCUCAAACUCCGUCGGGCUAAUGAUAUACAACCCUUUUCGUUCCACACUUCUCUUUGUUUCAUGUGAGCUAAUAGGUUUUGGGGGCAGUAGGUUAAGAUGAAUCUUCUUUCCAUCAAACACGAAAGAGUAGGAAUUGGAUCGACCAUAGAUGGUUACAUCUAGGUCAAAUAACCAAGGUCGUCCCAAGAUGACGUGCCUGACAUCCAUUGAAAUGACGUCACACCAUAUGUGAUUAGGGACUGGAUAGGGAUUAGACAACGCUCCUUGACAGCUAAAGAAGUAUUAACCCAGGAGACGCUAUACGGUUGAGGGUGAGGAAUUGGCUUUAACCCUAGGCGGGAUACAGUAGCUAUCGAAACCGCAUUAAUGCAACUGCUACUAUCCACGAUAACUUUACAGUCCUUGUUAAUGAUCUUGAUGUAAGUGUGGAAGAUGGAAUGACGACGCCAAUCAUCGGCAUUCCUAGGCUGGGUAAGAGUGCAACGGAUGACACCGACUUUAGGCGUAUGUAGGAUAAGGGGACUAGCCUGAAUACAACCUAAGAAGGUAUCAUCACUAUCCUCCAAGUUAUCAAACUCUUCCAACUUAGGUUCAUAAACCUGGUCCUCUAAUGACUCGUCAACUAUACCUUUACGCUCGUCCAUAACUAGGGCUCGGCUAGGACAUUUAGAAGAAAUGUGACCAAAACCCUUACAGUUGAAGCAUUUACAAACGGGAGGACGCCCUUGUAACCUCAGAACCUUUACCUUUACUAUCCGAUGUAGGUAGCAUUAGAAGGAGGAGGUCCUAGAAUAGAUUUUGGGGAUGGAGUAGAUGCAGAAGAGGUUGCAGUGUGGGUGUCACUACGAGUUCUAUACGGUGUCCUAGUCACUAACUCGUAAUCCCGAACGAAAGAGUAGGCGUGGUCAAGAGUGGUGACGCCUCUAAGGACAAGCUCACGUCUAAGAUCAUCCUUUAGGCCUUCUCUAAACCUACUCAAGGUCAUGACCUCAUCCUCAACGACUUGACAUUUCAUUCGAAACUCAUCAAACUGAGCAACGUACUCGGUCACAGGUCGAUUGCCUUGUGUAAGUUCAUUCCAUUGAGUAAAAAUUUCAAAAUCUAAGCAACUAUCAAAAGUAGAAGUGUGUAAUUUAGUGUCUCUAAAGAACUCUUUUUAUGAUGAGGAAGAGAAUGAGUACCGUGACGGUCAUAGGCUCGUUCUCGCCGACAAAUUUGUUCCCUAUCACUAUGAUUGUAUCCAAAAUAUUUUCGAUCUCCUCGUCGAUGACGAUAAUGUCUAUGAUGGGAUACUUCAGAAUUAUCAACGUCAAUCAAAUGAGGGAUUUGCUUAAAAUUGUUCAAAUUAGUAGAGAGGGCCUUACUCUCUUCAAGAGUAGCAGUCAUUUAGGUUUGGAUAGCAGCUAUUUGUUGGGUGAGUACAUCAAAUUGUGGAUGGUCCAUGUUUUGGUACAGAAACUAGAAGUGACAAAAUGACCAGUCAACCACUAUAUUAGCAGCUAAAUGACGUGUAAUAGAGAGAUCAGUGAACAAUAAGUGCAAGCAAUGGAAAAUAAUUUGAACCAUUUUUUUUUUAAAUUUUAAAUUUGGAGGAUUAAGCAAAUCCAAAUAUUGCAAACUAAUAUUGUUGAUAUAUGUAAAAUAGCAAAGCAAGGGUUAAACACUAGUCAAAAGACCUAAUCAUAUGAUAUAGAUUGAGGGGUUAAAAGCAAGUCUAUGAUGAAUCAAAACCCUACGCGAGGUAAGUGGGGAGCCAAUGGGAGUUAAGUCAUUCAAUGAUUUUGAUAAAGUGUGGUUAAGGCUAAUAUUGUCAAGGUUACAGCAGCACAAGAUUUUAAUUGAUGCAAUUUUAAAAAUGAAGUAGUAAUAUAAACCAAUACUAGAUAGAGAUCAAGAACUCCUUGUUUAGUUGCUUGAAUUUCUGAAAUGUGGACCCUAGUUAUGCUUGUGUUAUAUCCUUCUUUGCAGAUGUCUUCCACUCCAGAAGUCACUCCUUGUUGAUUGUGAUUUAUACUGGUUAUUGCUCUGGCUCUGUUGUGCGUUGGAGUAUAACUGGCGGGCAAGUCGAAUUGAUCCCUGUUGUUAGUCGUUUAUGUGUUAAAUGGGAUGUGAUAACAUGUGUUAAGUGGGCUGAUUUAUUUUGAUUCAAGUAAUGGGUUGGUUUAUUUUGAGAUGUUGGAAUUGAGCUAGAAGUAAGUGGUUGGAUGAUAUGAUGGGAAGUGGGCUGUGUAUGCAAGGGUUGAGUUAAUUGGGUUUUGGGGUUUAUUGGGCUGCGUGAGUUUGGUUAGGGAUAAAAGGAAUAUUUAUGAGUAUAUUUGGGUUAGAUUGUUAGGAUUAAAAAUUUGUGAAACAACACUUAACAGCAGCAAACGCCUAAAAUACUAAAAUUGAUUUUUUUUUGCAGAAAAUGAUGAAAAAUACUGAAACUGAAUUUUUUUCCUCCGGGUGAAUAGUGCCUGUGAAUAGUAACUUUUUUUUUUUUGGGAACUGAAAAUACUUAAAUUGAAUUUUUCGGGUGUGAAUAGUACCUGUGAACAGUAACACGAUUUUUUAUUUUUUUACAACUAAGAUAGAAAAUUGAAGGAAAAAACUGGUAACUUUAAUACAAACUUUUCAUUUUUGCUGUUCCAACGGGAAGUAAUUUUGGGAAGAGGAUGGGAAGAAAUUUUGGAUAAAAAGAAAAAUUACCCAAUUUCGGCUCUAAUACUAAAUUUGAUGUAGCAUUAAUAGAAAAAUUAAUGAAGAAAGAGAAUCAAUGAAUCAGGGGAAGGGAUGGAAGAACAAGAAAAUAGGGAAAGAAGAAGAAGAACGGGGAAGAGGGGAAAUUUCGCCACAAGCCACCAAAAAUCUUUAUUCAAUUAUCAACUGAAAAAUUACAAUACAAAAUAGGUUUAAACAGUUGAGCAAACCUUAACAAAACUGGGUCCGAGCCCAUACAAGUCCAAUUCUCUAAAUAAGAGUCCAAGAUAAUAAAUAAAGCUUAACUAGAUCAUCAUCAGGGGGAAUAAAAAACAGUCAUUAACAUAAUAUAGAACAACUUAAAGAAAUUUCUCUUUCUUCAUCGGGGGAAUAAAAAACCGUCAUUAACAUAAUAUAGAACAACUUAAAGAAAUUUCUCUUUCUUAAUUUUCUUUUCUUGUGUUUACAAACUGUACCAAGAUAUAUUUCUCUGAACAUGGAGUGUCAAUCAAACCUAUGUUUGAAUUGAAAUUGAGAUACCGAUGUAAGUUUUUCCCUUCUGAAUUAGAUAUAUUUAUAUUUGAAAGAGGUUGACAAUAAAUUCUUUCAAAUUUGAUUAUUUGAGGUGCUCCAGAAAUGUUUACAAAACAGGUUGUAAAAUUGUAUAGUGGUAUCUAAAGUGGCCGAGAAUUUAGCGAAUCAUGUAUAGUUAGAAGAAAAUGAUGUUUUUCCCUGAAAGUAAAUGAGUUGAGUUCCUCCAGGAAAAAGGUCUAUAAGUCUAUUCUUCUCAUUUAGAUUCAUAUACUAUUUCAGCAAUGCUCAAUGUAGAAGUCCAGAUUAUUCACAUGCACAACACUGCGUCAAAGUAUUUUUGGCUUAUUUGCAUGAUUUAAGUAAAAGAAUUCUGCUGGUAAUUUAUGUUCAUGAAGUUCAAAUAAUAGUUGAGUAGGCACACUGUAGUGUUAGGAAAACUCAUUAACAUUUUGACAUCCAUUUUUAAUAUGAAACAACACAAGAACUGCGCAAUGCUGUCCAUAGAUGGUAUGCGUGAUUGAGAUAUGAUGACCAGCAUCUCGGAGCUGGUAAAAAGACGGGUUUUUGGAUCUAUGAAAGUGCAAAUGAACAAGAUCAGUCCUGGUAUUGACGCGAUUUGCUACAUAUCCAGAUAUGG